ensembl:lncRNA
GGGCAGAGCACUGCACCAGUGACACCAGUACGCACCAGUGCUCCCAGUUCCCCAUACCCAGCGUGCACCACUACCCCCACAUCCUGCUCUGCGGUCUCCCGGGGUUCCAGAACUCCCAGUUCAUCCCAGUAUAUCCCAGUUUGUCCCAGUUCUCUCGGUAUCCCCAGUGCUCCCCAGUCCAUCCCGCUGCCCCCAGUCCUCCCAGUAUCCCCAGAAGUCCCCCUCCCAGUCUCUCCCAGUUUGUCCCAGUUAUCCCAGUGCCCCUGGUCCCCCCAGUCCGUCCCAGUCUGCCUCAGCAUCUCCCGGUCUCUCCCAGUAUUCCCAGUCUCUCCCAGUAUUCCCAGUCUCUCCCAGUAUCCCUAGAAUUCCAACUCCAUCCCAGUCCAUCCCAGUUUGUCCCAGUUCUCCCAGUUCCCCCGGUGCCCCCAGAAUUCCAGAUCCAUCCCAGUCCAUCCCAGUGCGCCCCAGCACCGCCCAGUUUCUCCCAGUGCUCCCAGUACCCCCACAGCCCAGUCUGCACCAGUGCUCCCAGUAUCUCCACGUUCUGCUCUGCAGUCCCCCAGGAUUCCACAACUCCCAGUUCAUCCCAGUAUAACCCAGUUUGUCCCAGUUCUCCCGGUAUCCCCAGUCCACCCCAGUCUGCCCCACAGCUCCCAGUCGGUCCCAGUGCUUCCCAGUAUCUCCAGUCCCCCAGUCUCUUCCAGUCCUCCCAGUAUUCCCAGAACUCCCAUUCAGUCCCAGUAUCUCCCAGUUUCUCCCAGUCUGUCCCAGUGCUCCCUAGUCUGUCCCAGUAUUCCCAGUCCCCCAGUCCCCCCAGUCUCUCCCAGUCCAUCCCAGUCCCCCCAGUUUCUCCCAGUCCAUCCCAGUCCUCCCAGUAUCUCCACACUCCCACUCUAUCCCAGUCCCCCAGCCCAUCCCAGUCUCCCCAGUCUCUCCCAGUCCAUCCCAGUCCUCCCAGUAUCUCCACACUUCCACUCUAUCCCGGUCCCCCAGUCUCUCCCAGUCCCCCCAGUCUCUCCCAGUCCAUCCCAGUCCUCCCAGUAUCUCCAC